rnacentral:rRNA from 1 species
GACGAACGCUGGCGGCGUGCUUAACACAUGCAAGUCGAACGAUGAAGCUGGAGCUUGCUCCGGUGGAUUAGUGGCGAACGGGUGAGUAACACGUGAGCAAUCUGCCCUUCACUCUGGGAUAACUGCGGGAAACUGUAGCUAAUACCGGAUACGAGACCUUGGGGCAUCCCAGGGUCUGGAAAGAAUUUCGGUGAAGGAUGAGCUCGCGGCCUAUCAGCUAGUUGGUGAGGUAAUGGCUCACCAAGGCGACGACGGGUAGCCGGCCUGAGAGGGUGACCGGCCACACUGGGACUGAGACACGGCCCAGACUCCUACGGGAGGCAGCAGUGGGGAAUAUUGCACAAUGGGCGCAAGCCUGAUGCAGCAACGCCGCGUGAGGGAUGACGGCCUUCGGGUUGUAAACCUCUUUUAGUAGGGAAGAAGCGAAAGUGACGGUACCUGCAGAAAAAGCACCGGCUAACUACGUGCCAGCCGCCGCCGUAA